UGUCAUCUUCACUCACGAAGCACACACAAGACCGCCAAGCAUUAAGAUUCUCCUGUGGAGCCAGGCUACAAUCCUUUAAAUGAAGACAGACAGCUAGGUGGCUGCAGCCCAGCGCUACACCUCACCCCUCCCUCAGUGUCAUGCAGAAAAAAUGUAUUCAGAACUCAGAAGUGAAGUUGUGCAAAUCCAUCAUUGACACUAGCUUCAAGGUUACCUCGGGGGAGCAGAAUGUACCCCUGCCAGAGAGCUGGAUAGAUGAUGAU
rnacentral:lncRNA from 1 species